rnacentral:rRNA from 1 species
CGAGCACGCGCGUGUGGCAUAUCAAUAAGCGGAGGAAAAGAAACUAACAAGGAUUCCCUUAGUAACGGCGAGUGAAGCGGGAAGAGCUCAAAUUUGAAAUCUUCAAGGGUUCUACCUUUACGAAUUGUAGUUUAUAAGAAGUGUUUUCUGUUAGUAGAGUGGCUAAAAGUUCUUUGGAAUAGGACAUCAUAGAGGGUGAGAAUCCCGUAUUUGGUACAUUCCUCCUAGCUGUUGUGAUACACUUUCAACGAGUCGGAUUGUUUGGGAAUGCAGUCCAAAAUGGGUGGUAAAUUUCAUCUAAAGCUAAAUAUUGGCGAGAGACCGAUAGCGAACAAGUACCGUGAGGGAAAGAUGAAAAGAACUUCGAAAAGAGAGUUAAACAGUACGUGAAAUUGUCAAAAGGGAAGCGUUUGACACCAGUGUUGUUUUUCCGAAAAUCAAUCACGAAUGUUUUGUUUUUGAGGAGUUAUGACUUCAUCGGCUUGCUCCUUUCUUUACGAAACUUUCUUAAUGCACUUUUCGGUUAACAAGUCAACAUCAAUUUCUUUUGUUGUAAAAGGGUAUGAGGAAGGUGGCUUUCUUUUCGGAGAAAGUGUUUAUAGCCUUGUGCCUCUGCAAUCGGAGAGAUUGAGGUCUGCAGCGUAGAUCCUUCGGGGCUAGAUACAUUUGUGCUAAGUUAUAGCUUUUCAUAGACAACUUGUUGACUAUGCUUAGUCUUGUAGCUUACUCGCUUAUGCUAUUUUACCUACGCUUAGGAUGUUGAGCGCAUGUCUCUCUCU